rnacentral:rRNA from 1 species
GACGAACGCUGGCGGCGUGCCUAACACAUGCAAGUCGAGCGGGGAUUUACGAAUGAAGUUUUCGGAUGGAUUUGUAAGUUCUAGCGGCGGACGGGUGAGUAACGCGUGAGCAACCUGCCUAUCACUGGGGAAUAACGCAUCGAAAGGUGUGCUAAUACCGCAUGAGACCACAUGAUCGCAUGGUCGAGGGGUCAAAGAUUUAUCGGUGAUAGAUGGGCUCGCGUCUGAUUAGCUAGUUGGGGUGUAAUGGACCACCAAGGCGACGAAUCAGUAGCUGGUUUGAGAGGAUGAUCAGCCACAAUGGGACGUGAGACACGGCCCACUAAUCCUACCGGGAGGGCGAGCAG